rnacentral:rRNA from 1 species
GUGGGGAAUAUUGGACAAUGGGGGGAACCCUGAUCCAGCCAUGCCGCGUGUGUGAAGAAGGCCUUUUGGUUGUAAAGCACUUUAAGCGAGGAGGAGGCUUACCUGGUUAAUACCUGGGAUAAGUGGACGUUACUCGCAGAAUAAGCACCGGCUAACUCUGUGCCAGCAGCCGCGGUAAUACAGAGGGUGCGAGCGUUAAUCGGAUUUACUGGGCGUAAAGCGCGCGUAGGUGGUUAAUUAAGUCAAAUGUGAAAUCCCCGAGCUUAACUUGGGAAUUGCAUUCGAUACUGGUUAGCUAGAGUAUGGGAGAGGAUGGUAGAAUUCCAGGUGUAGCGGUGAAAUGCGUAGAGAUCUGGAGGAAUACCGAUGGCGAAGGCAGCCAUCUGGCCUAAUACUGACACUGAGGUGCGAAAGCAUGGGGAGCAAACAGGAUUAGAAACCCUAGUAGUCC